rnacentral:rRNA from 1 species
UUGGAGGGCAAGUCUGGUGCCAGCAGCCGCGGUAAUUCCAGCUCCAAUAGCGUAUAUUAAAGUUGUUGCAGUUAAAAAGCUCGUAGUUGAACUUCGGGAUCAAUGGAUUGGUCAUGCCGAUGGUGUGUACUGGUCAUAUUGGUUCUCACCUUCUAAGGAACCAUAAUGUCAUUUAUUUGAUGUUGUGGGGAAUUAGGACUGUUACCUUGAAAAAAUUAGAGUGUUUAAAGCAGGCUAACGCUUGAAUACAUUAGCAUGGAAUAAUGAGAUAGGACAUCGCAUUCUAUUUUGUUGGUUUCUAGGAUCGAUGUAAUGAUUAAUAGGGAUAGUUGGGGGCAUUAGUAUUCAAUUGUCAGAGGUGAAAUUCUUGGAUUUAUUGAAGACUAACUACUGCGAAAGCAUUUGCCAAGGAUGUUUUCAUUAAUCAAGAACGAAAGUUAGGGGAUCGAAGACGAUCAGAUACCGUCGUAGUCUUAACCAUAAACUAUGCCGACUAGGGAUCGGAUGAUGUUAUUUUUAAUGACUCAUUCGGCGCCUUACGGGAAAC